rnacentral:rRNA from 1 species
GACGUAGGUGGCGAACGUUAUCCGGAAUUAUUGGGCGUAAAGGAUGCGUAGAUGGUGUAGUAAGUUAUCGGUGGCAAAUCGAGGCUCAACCUCGUGGAAGUCGGUAAUACUGCUAUGCUAGAAGAUAGGAGAGGUUAACGGAACUCCCUGUGGAGCGGUGAAAUGCGUAGAUAUAGGGAAGAACACCAAUCAGGCGAAGGCAGUUAACUAUUCUAUUCCUGACAUUGAGGCAUGAAAGCGUGGGGAGCAAAACGG